UACGUAGGGUGCAAGCGUUAAUCGGAAUUACUGGGCGUAAAGCGUGCGCAGGCGGUUUUGUAAGUCUGUCGUGAAAUCCCCGGGCUCAACCUGGGAACUGCAUUUGUGACUGUAGAGCUGGAGUGCGGCAGAGGGGGAUGGAAUUCCGCGUGUAGCAGUGAAAUGCGUAGAUAUGCGGAGGAACACCGAUGGCGAAGGCAAUCCCCUGGGCCUGCACUGACGCUCAUGCACGAAAGCGUGGGAGCAAACAGG
rnacentral:rRNA from 1 species